rnacentral:rRNA from 1 species
CGACUGCUAAAGAGGUAUGCUUAGGGAAGAGCUUGCGCUCACAUUAGCUAGUUUGGUGGGGUAAAGGCCUACCAAGACUAUGAUGUGUAGCCGGACUGAGAGGUUGAACGGCCACAUUGGGACUGAGACACGGCCCAAACUCCUACGGGAGGCAGCAGUAAGGAAUUUUCGGCAAUGGAGGAAACUCUGACCGAGCAACGCCGCGUGAACGAUGAAGUAUUUCGGUACGUAAAGUUCUUUUAUUAGGGAAGAAAAGAUGGUGGAAAAACCAUUAUGACGGUACCUAAUGAAUAAGCCCCGGCUAACUAUGUGCCAGCAGCCGCGGUAAUACAUAGGGGGCAAGCGUUAUCCGGAAUUAUUGGGCGUAAAGGGUGCGUAGGCGGUUAAAUAAGUUUAUGGUCUAAGUGCAAUGCUUAACGUUGUGAUGCUAUAAAAACUGUUUAGCUAGAGUUGGAUAGAGGCAAGUGGAAUUCCAUGUGUAGUGGUAAAAUGCGUAAAUAUAUGGAGGAACACCAGAAGCGAAGGCGGCUUGCUGGGUCUUAACUGACGCUGAGGCACGAAAGCGUGGGGAGCAAACAGGAUUAGAUACCCUGGUAGUCCACGCCCUAAACGAUGAGUACUAAACAUUGGGUAAAACCAGUGUUGAAGUUAACACAUUAAGUACUCCGCCUGAGUAGUACGUACGCAAGUAUGAAACUUAAAGGAAUUGNCGGGACUCCGCACAAGCGGGGGAUCAUGUUGUUUAAUUCGAAGGUACCCGAAAAACCUCACCAGGUCUUGACAUGC